UCCAAACUGCAACACAUGAAAACUUCCUUCAGCUCUCCCUGAAGCAAUAAGCUAGCCGGCAGUACAGUCUUUGAAAACACCUGGAGUCUAUUCCAUCUUCAUCAGGCUCCUGUAAACACACUUACGUGGAAGACUAAAUAAGUUAUCUCAGACAAUAUUAUUUACCAAUUUCAAAUUAAUAAAGCCAAAAAAAUAGAUUAUCUAAAUAA